rnacentral:rRNA from 1 species
UACGGAGGGUGCGAGCGUUAAUCGGAAUUACUGGGCGUAAAGCGUGCGUAGGCGGUCUGAUAAGCCGGUUGUGAAAGCCCCGGGCUCAACCUGGGAACGGCAUCCGGAACUGUCAGGCUAGAGUGCAGGAGAGGAGGGUAGAAUUCCCGGUGUAGCGGUGAAAUGCGUAGAGAUCGGGAGGAAUACCAGUGGCGAAGGCGGCCUUCUGGACUGACACUGACGCUGAGGUGCGAAAUCGUGGGUAGCAAACAGG